rnacentral:rRNA from 1 species
GAUGAACGCUGGCGGCGUGCCUAAUACAUGCAAGUCGAGCGAACAGACGAGGAGCUUGCUCCUCUGACGUUAGCGGCGGACGGGUGAGUAACACGUGGAUAACCUACCUAUAAGACUGGGAUAACUUCGGGAAACCGGAGCUAAUACCGGAUAAUAUAUUGAACCGCAUGGUUCAAUAGUGAAAGACGGUUUUGCUGUCACUUAUAGAUGGAUCCGCGCCGCAUUAGCUAGUUGGUAAGGUAACGGCUUACCAAGGCAACGAUGCGUAGCCGACCUGAGAGAGUGAUCGGCCACACUGGAACAGAGACACGGUCCAGACUCCUACGGGAGGCAGCAGUAGGGAAUCUUCCGCAAUGGGCGAAAGCCUGACGGAGCAACGCCGCGUGAGUUGUGAAGGUCUUCGGAUCGUAAAACUCUGUUAUUAGGGAAGAACAAAUGUGUAAGUAACUAUGCACGUCUUGACGGUACCUAAUCAGAAAGCCACGGCUAACUACGUG